CCUACGGGAGGCAGCAGUAGGGAAUCUUCCACAAUGGACGAAAGUCUGAUGGAGCAACGCCGCGUGAGUGAAGAAGGGUUUCGGCUCGUAAAGCCCUGUUGGUAGUGAAGAAAGAUAGAGGUAGUAACUGGCCUUUAUUUGACGGUAAUUACUUAGAAAGUCACGGCUAACUACGUGCCAGCAGCCGCGGUAAUACGUAGGUGGCAAGCGUUGUCCGGAUUUAUUGGGCGUAAAGCGAGUGCAGGCGGGUCAAUAAGUCUGAUGUGAAAGCCUUCGGCUCAACCGGAGAAUUGCAUCAGAAACUGUUGAACUUGAGUGCAGAAGAGGAGAGUGGAACUCCAUGUGUAGCGGUGGAAUGCGUAGAUAUAUGGAAGAACACCAGUGGCGAAGGCGGCUCUCUGGUCUGCAACUGACGCUGAGGCUCGAAAGCAUGGGUAGCGAACAGGAUUAGAUACCCCAGUAGUC
rnacentral:rRNA from 1 species